rnacentral:lncRNA from 1 species
GCCUGCAGUGCUGGCCCCAGCCUGGCCGAGCGAGCAUUUGUUCACCCAAGACCUUUCCCCUCCUGCCCUCGUGGAGCCUCCACAAGGAGUAAACAACCACUUCUGGUCCCUCAAAGCAUCAACUCUGUGCCUUGCAGACAGCGGACACGUAACUCAGCCACGUGGCACGAACAUGAGCAGACUUCUUUUUUCCAGGAUGUGCACGGUUUCCACGACAAUGCCCACUGCACGCCUUAUGGCCUCACCGGAGACGUAAAGCAGAUGCCAAGAAACUUCCCCCCAAAAUGGGCUGGCUUGCUAAGCCCAGGACCGCCUGUCCAGCUGGGGCUGGGGGCAAGGAUCCCAUUUUCUGUGGCUCUUUUUGCUCUGAUGGUCAGGUUCACCGGCCGUACGUGUAAUCUGAAGCAUUCGGUAGCGAUCUAAUUAAAUGUUAACACAUCAUUAAAGUGAUUUGCGAUAAGCAC